GGGUGUGUAGUUCAAUUGGCAGAACGCCGGCCUCCAAAGCCGGAUGUUAUUGGUUCGAGUCCAGUCAUGCCCGCCA
rnacentral:tRNA from 1 species